rnacentral:lncRNA from 1 species
CUGCAGUAGUUACCAGCCAGCUGUCUGGCCUUCCCAUCUGCUGUGAGGCACCACCCACGAGCGAGGCAGCAGAAGAGAAGAAAUGCACUUGUGGAGCAGUGGAUGAGGCCAAGCCUGCAGUUUUUUUGGAGGUGAGUGGGAGACAACUCCAAUAUUUAAUUAUCUGCUCCAGCAAUCCUUGACAUCAGCUGAUCACCUAAUAUUACCAGUUGGAGGUUGGGAUUUAAUUUUAUUGAUGGUACAGUCAUCUCUGAAGACUCAUUGUCUAGGAAACAGUGGACUAGCUUUACACGUGGCAUGGUUUGGAGCCGCAGGGGGAGUAGAGCUGCCGCGGCCGGGCCAGCCACCUCCGGGUCCAUGAGCCGCCGCCAGCCGCCGUCGCCAGCCGGGACUGCCGCCACCGCCGGGCCCAGCUCCCCCAGCCCCGCCGCCGCUUCCGCCGCCGCUCCGCCGCCCUGUCGGAGGUGAGUCCCGCGGCCGGGCCCGCCGCCGCCCGCUCUCUUCAACGCCGCCCGCGGGCCCCGGUUCCUGUCA